rnacentral:rRNA from 1 species
UACCAGACUCCUACGGGAGGCAGCAGUGAGGAAUAUUGGUCAAUGGGCGGAAGCCUGAACCAGCCAAGUCGCGUGAGGGAAGAAGGCCCUGCGGGUCGCAGACCUCUUUGGACGGGGAGCAAGGCCGCCGACGUGUCGGCGGAAGGAGAGUACCCGUAGAACAAGCAUCGGCUAACUCCGUGCCAGCAGCCGCGGUAAUACGGAGGAUCCGAGCGUUAUCCGGAUUUAUUGGGUUUAAAGGGAGCGUAGAUGGGUUGUUAAGUCAGCUGUGAAAGUUUGCGGCUCAACCGUAAAAUUGCAAUUGAUACUGGCAGUCUUGAGUACAGUUGAGGUAGGCGGAAUUCGUGGUGUAGCGGUGAAAUGCUUAGAUAUCACGAAGAACCCCGAUUGCGAAGGCAGCUUACUAAACUGUGACUGACAUUGAUGCUCGAAAGUGUGGGUAUCAAACAGGAUUAGAUACCCCAGUA